rnacentral:lncRNA from 1 species
GGUUUUGGAGGGUUUUGAGGAAUUUUUUGGGGGUUUUGGGGUGGUUCCGAUGGGGAUUUGGGGGGAUUUUGGGGAGGUUUUACGGGAUUUUGGGAUUCCGGAGGAUUUUGGGAAUUUUUUGGGAAUAUUUUGGGGAUGUCUGGGAGGGAUUUUGGGGGAGAUUUGAGAUUCCACGACCCCCCCAGGGAAGCUCCUGUUCUCCAUCAGCUUCCUCAUCUUCCUCCUGAUGCUGAUCCUGCUGGGCAAGGGCUUCUCGGUCACCAGGGGCCGCAUCAGCCCGGGGGGCUCGGUCCGUCUGUCCGUCUACAUGACGCUCUACAGCAUCGCCCACAUCGCCCUGCUCACCUACGAGGCUCAGUUUUUCGACCCCGGGCAGGUGCUGUACACCUACGAGUCCCCGGCGGGGUACGGGCUGAUCGCGCUGCAGUUCGGAGCCUUCGUUUGGUUCUGCGCCGCCGUGGGCGCCACCCUGAGCGCGGUGCCGGAGAGACGCCAGUUCUACCUGCCCUUCCUGGGGGCUUAUGCGUUCUGGUGAGUGCCAAAAUCACACCUGGACACACCUGGGGACACCUGGGGACACCUGGGGGGGUCACAGCCACACCUGGGGCGCCACCCUGAGCGCGGUGCCGGAGCGACGCCAGUUCUACCUGCCCUUCCUGGGGGCUUAUGCGUUCUGGUGAGUGCCAAAAUCACACCUGAGCACACCUGGGACACACCUGGGGACACCUGGGGACACCUGGGGACACUUGGGGACACCUGGACACACCUGGGGACACCUGGGGACACCUGGGAUACACCUGGGGACACCUGGGGGGGAUAAAAACACACCUGGGCACACCUGAGAUACACCUGGGCACACCUGGGGACACCUGGACACACCUGGGGACACCUGGGGGGGUCACAGCCACACCUGGGCACACCUGAGAUACACCUGGGGGGAUAAAAACACACCUGGGGACACCUGAGACACACCUGGACACACCUGGGGACACCUGGGGGUUACCUGAGGACACCUGGAGGGGUUUGGGGACACACCUG